CUACGGGCGGCACCAGUGGGGAAUAUUGCACAAUGGAGGAAACUCUGAUGCAGCAACGCCGCGUGGAGGAUGACACUUUUCGGAGCGUAAACUCCUUUUAUAUAGGAAGAAGAUGACGGUACUAUAUGAAUAAGCGCCGGCUAACUCCGUGCCAGCAGCCGCGGUAAUACGGAGGGCGCAGGCGUUACUCGGAAUCACUGGGCGUAAAGAGCGUGUAGGCGGAUUAAAAAGUCAGAAGUGAAAUCCUAUAGCUUAACUAUAGAACUGCUUCUGAAACUCUUAAUCUAGAAUAUGGGAGAGGUAGAUGGAAUUUCUAGUGUAGGGGUAAAAUCCGUAGAGAUCAGAAGGAAUACCGAUUGCGAAGGCGAUCUACUAGAACAUUAUUGACGCUGAGACGCGAAAGCGUGGGGAGCAAACAGGAUUAGAACCCCUGUAGUC
rnacentral:rRNA from 1 species